GAGAUUUGUCACCACUUGUCGGAUCCGAUCCUUCACCACAUCAGGCCCUCUCGUUUGCUUUGCCAAACCCACACCUUGGUGCUGGUUCUGGUCAACAUCCAAGUUGAUGAUGGCCGGGGGUCGAGCACCAGGCCCCUUCUUUUGGUUCAAGUGUUUCUGUGGGACUUCAGUUGCAAAGAAACUUUGGUGAGAGUGUCCAUUACAGUUCUCCGGUGAAUUAGCCGAGUCCUGAUUGGUAUUGCUUCCCUCUUUUCCUUUGGAGGGUCCAGGCUUUGGUCCACAAUGCCCAUUAGCUACAAGUACUUGUUCCAAACUCGGAUUAUUUUGCUUCAAAUGGUAAUUUCCGGCGAAAUUUGCACAUCUUUCCUCUCUGUUGCCGACAAAUACAUCAUAUUGGACCGUCCUACUAUAGCCACACCCUUGUCCUUUGACCCGUAAAUGAGGGAGUGGGUGUGGAAUCCCGCCAUUGAAGAGGUGUGCCUUGGUGUGGCUGUGCGUCACCACACACUCUCUGAAAGAUGGACAGUGUGUCACGGUAGCUUCUGGCAAAUAAUCCCACCUGGAAGAGUUCAACUCACAUGGACGACAAAGUCGGGGCAGGUCGUUAGACUGGUGCAAGGGGCCAGACCCCAGGAACCGAGGCCAUCUCUGAGGGCUACAGUGACUGCCUCGGUCUUCUCUGGGCGUCCUCCAUCCUUCCUCCUUAACCCGAGGAGACUGGAUGUCUCUUCGGCCUUCCAGAUGUUGGUGGUCAGCCUGUUUGCUCGGCGCCGGUUGGUACCUCAGCCCGCCGGGCUGGUCACAGCGCUGGCAGGGGCACGGGCCACGGAUGAAUCGCCUGCGUGCUGUCGCUUGUCCGCCUUCUGUGUACAUGUCCGAAAAGUGGCUCCCCGCAAAAAAACUUCUCCGUAGCCUCCCCCCUUCUCCCUUUACACAAGACUUCCCCCUCCCCUUCCUUCCUGUCUGUUGUUUCCCUGCCUCUCCUUUCCUCUUCAAAGCCAGUUCUUUUCUCCCCCUUUCUCUCUUCUUUCUCUUAACUUUUCUUCCCCCUGGAGCUCCCGCUCUCUGAAAUCUCUCCUUGUACCUCCCUCCACCUCUCAGGCUUGCUUGUUCUGUCUCAUUUGCUGUCUCUGGCUUUCUGCAUUUCAACCGCCCCCCUCCACUCUUUGCUGUCCUUCUCCUCCUUUUACUCCGUCUUAUUUCCUUACAUAGUCGGCGAUACCUGGAUUUGCCAAGCCCCUCUCUCGUUUCCAUGUGCGAUCCAGGCGUACUCCAGUAACGGACUCCAUCCGUAAGGCUUUCCGAGAGUGUGUGGGGAAAUAGAACCCAAAAACCGGUGCCUAACUCGGUGGCCCAACUGACGGCGCAAUUAAAUGCUGCCUAAGAUUUCUUGGCCAGGAAGGGAGAGAGAGGAGGGUAUUGUAAAGGGGGGUGGGUGGAGAGAAGCAAAAAGUGGGAGGAGGUGGGGUUUCUAGCAACGCCGGCAUGGAAGUGGGCAGCAGUCUGACUCAAGGAGACAUUAACAGUGCUUGAAACAUUCCUCAUCACACAAUCCUGCCUUGCCUACUACAUUUGUCUUUCAAUUUUUGUUUUGUCCUUUGCCAUCUUUUCCAGAGUUUUACGGAGUUUUACAACCUAUGCAGGAUUUAAACAGCUCUCCAUAAAAGAACGCAUGUCAUGAUCCGCUGCUCGGAUCAUGUCAUGUUUUGGUUUCGGUUCUGUUUUGUAUCUCGUUUCGUUAGUAUUUGACUUUUUCUUAGUUCCUGGUGGCACUUCCUGUUUUGUUUGUUGUCGUAGUUAUGUAUAAGUGUCACCUGCCUCUUUUGUUUUUCACACGCACCUCCUCUGUGAUUAUCUCCUUUAUUUAAGCUGCCCUUUUUGUUCAUUCUGUCUCGCAGUCUAGUUUGCUGUCCAAUGCAACAAGUGACGUCGCUAUCCCCAAUUGUGGUAAAGUCUUUUUGUAUUUGUUAGCUUCCACGCUAUUCCGUCGUUUGCUACCUAGCUCACAUGCUAGCACUUUCAGUUCUUUCUAGCUCCCAUGCUAGUUCUGUUGGUUUUGUCUUUUGUGCCUUGUGCAAGUGUUUUUGUUCUUAGUCUGUUUUAUAGUAGAAAUAAAGUAUAAUUACUUACCUUCACGCUAUGUCCAGUCCACCUGCAUUUAUGAGAGAACGCACCCGCAUAGACACAAUGCCAGACAAGCGUCACAACGCAAGCUUUUCCAAGAUCAGUUUUCAAACUUUUCCACAAGGUUAUAACUAGGGUGAAGUCCACACUUACAUACAUGCUCAAUGUGUUGAAUUUUUUUUAUAUCAAAAUAUGUUUUUGUCCCGAUGGCAGCACGGUGGACAAGGGUUAAUGCGUGUGCCUCACAAUACGAAGGUCCUGGGUUCAACCCUGGGCUCGGGAUCUUUCUGUGUGGAGUUUGCAUGUUCUCCCCGUGACUCCGUGGGUUCCUUGCGGGUACUCCGGCUUCCUUCUACCUCCAAAGACCUGCAGCUGGGGAUAGGUUGAUUGGACAAAUCCUGACCAAAGACCAAUCCUUUGAUUCCAUACCGUUCUAAUUUGUUUACUUCCAAAGACAUGCACCUGGGGAUAGGUUGAUUUGGCAACACUAAAUGGUCCUUAGUGAAUGUGAAUGUUGUAUCAUCUGCAAAUAAUUCUAACUUUAAGUCCUUUGUAACUUUACUAAUGUUGUUUGUAUAAAGAAUUAACCAUUUUGGUCCGAGAAUUGAUCCCUGAGGUACAUACGCCACAAGAUAUUUUCAGCUCUGUAGACGUGUUCGCCGAGCUUCACGUAUUGCUUCCUGUUGGUUAAGUAGCUUCGUACCCAGUUCAAGACCAAUCCUUCAAGAUAUUUUCAGCUCUGUAGACGUGUUCGCCGAGCUUCAUGUAUUGCUUCCUGUUGGUUAAGUAGCUUUGUACCCAGUUCAAGACCAAUCCUUUGAUUCCAUACCGUUCUGAUUUGUUUACUUCCAAAGACAUGCACCUGGGGAUAGGUUGAUUGGCAACACCCUGUGUGAAUUUAGCGUGAAUGUUGUAUCAUCUGCAAAUAAUACUAACUUUAAGUCCUUUUUAACUUUACAAAUGUCGUUUGUAUAAAGAUUUUACCAUUUUGGUCCGAGUAUUGAUCCCUGAGGUACGCCACAAGAUAUUUUUAGCUCUGUAGACGUGUUCGCCGAGCUUCAUGUAUUGCUUCCUGUUGGUUAAGUAGCUUCGUACCCAAUUCAAGACCAAUCCUUUGAUUCCAUACCGUUCUAAUUUGUUUACUUCCAAAGACAUGCGCUUGGGGAUAGGUUGAUUGGCAACACUAAAUGUGUGAAUGUUGUAUCAUCUGCAAAUAAUACUAACUUUAAGUCCUUCGUAACUUUACAAAUGUCAUUUGUAUAAAGAUUUAACCAUUUUUGUCCAAGUAUUGAUUCCUGAGGUACGCCACAAUAUAUUUUCAGCUCUGUAGACGUGUUCGCCUAUCUUCACGUAUUGCUUCCUGUUGGUUAAGUAGCUUCUUACACAGUUCAAGACCAAUCCUUUGAUUCCAUACCGUUCUAAUUUGAUUACUUCCAAAGACAUGCACUUGGGGAUAGGUUGAUUGGCAACACUAAAUGGUCCCUAGUGUGUGAAUGUUGUAUGAUCAGCAAAUAAUACUAACUUUAAGUCCUUUGUAACUUUACAAAUGUCGUUUGUAUAAAGAUUUAAACCAUUUUGGUCUGAGUAUUGAUCCCUGAGGUACCCCAUUAACAUAUUUUCAGCUCUGUAGAUGUGUUCGCCUAGCUUCAAGUAUUGCUUCCUGUUGGUUAAGUAGCUUCGUACCCAGUUCAAGACUAAUCCCUUGAUUCCAUACUGUUCUGAUUUGUUUACUUCCAAAGACAUGCAACUGGGGAUAGGUUGAUUGGCAACACUAAAUGGUCCCGGCAAUCCUGUUUGGUUCAUUAUUUUUUUGCCAUACGGAAGAAGUUUGCAAUGCCUUCGAGCCCAGACCCUUGUGUGGAGCUCAGCAAACUACAAGGAUCUGGCGAGAGUCAGGUUAGUCCUGACCAAGGUAUGCUCUGAACUACAUCCGGUGAUGAUGUGUCUGUGUUACCACUUAGUCAUUAUUGCUCCCAGGUCUACUCUGGCCUGUGUUGUAGCACCUGAUACCAUGCUCGGGGUAAUGAGAAGACUUGAGUUGCGACACAAUGUCAUUUUUAUCUGUUGUCAUUCAGCGCAGGGCAGGCAUCUUUACGCUGAGGAACAUUUUAGUGAUAUUUCUAAAAACGUGUUGCACCUGUUAAGGCCCUUUUCAUGGUAUAUCAAAAACUAUCAUUCAAAAUGUAAGAAACUUCAAAACCUAAAACUAGUGUGGACUACAGUACGGUAUACCAGUAGUAGUAUAGAACCGCGAUACCGAUUACUCAUAUUCGGUACUAUAAUGCCUCUGAAAAGUACUGGUCCGACACCAUCAUCCACGCAUUUUGGCUUGAAAACUACCUAAAUAAGUUAUAACACUGAAACGCCCUCAGGAAGAGGUGCUUUAAGACAUGGCUAGCUCGCUAGCGGCUAAAGUCCAGCCCCAGUCUGCAGUGUUUUAGCCACUUCUAAAUCACUAAUCCUGGUCUCCAUGGCGACAAAUAAAGUAUGUUUCUUACAAGUACAUUAUCACUGGAGGACGAGGAAUAGCUAAACAUGCUUCACUACACACCGUAGCUCACCUGCGUCAAAAUGUAAACAAACGUCAUUGGUGGAUCUACACCUGACAUCCGCUGUAAUGAUACCAAGUACAGGUGCGUAUCUGGUUGAUACUAUUAAAAUUUAAUCAAUAUUUUUUGGCAUCACAAGAUCGUCUUUCGCUUUUUAAAUGUAUAUUAUGUUUAUAAACUAAGGAAAUAUGUCCCUGGACACAUGAGGAUAUGACCGAUGUAUCAUCCUGUAACUACUGUGACGUCUCAGUGGCAUUGUGGUGACGAGUUGUUCUCUCGUGGGUGCAGCGGAAGAUGGAACACAGCGUGAGGGUAGGGAUAAGAAUUUGUUUAUAUAAUAAAACAAACUAAGAACAAAAACACUUGCACAAAGGCACUAACCAAAAAUCAACAGAACUAGCUUGGGAGCUAGAAAGAACAAAGGGCGCUCGCGUGGAAGCUAGGGACAUAAACAAACAAAAUAGCAUAGAAGCUAACAAGUAUACAAAAAUAGAUUUACCACAAUGUUGGAAGAGCGGGGUCAGCUGUUGCGUGUAGCAAGCAAGAGUCCAAGACUGAAUGUCAAACAGAGGCGGGCAUAUAUAGGGAAAUAAAUAAUCAAGGCCAGGUGCGCGUGAUCAAAGCAGAGACAGGUGACACUAAAUGGGUAACUAUGACAACGGAAACAAAACCAGGAAGUGCCACAAAGAACUAAGGAAGACAAAUACUAGACAGAAUGUGAUAAACAGAACCAAAACCAGAAUAUGUCAUGAUCCAAGACGUGGAUCAUGACAACUACUUGGUAUCAGAUUGAUACCCAAAUCUGUGGUAUCGUCUAAAUAAUGUAAAGUAUCAAAGAAAAGAAGAAUAGGUGAUAAUUACAUUUUAACAGAAGUGUAGAUAGAACAUGUUGAAAGAGAAAGUAAGCAGAUAUUAACAGUAAAUGAACAAGUAGAUCAAUAAUUCAUUUUCUACCACUUAGAUUUACCCCUAACACCCACUGUAAUGAUACCAAGUACAGUAGCGUAUCUAGUUGAUACUACUACGAUUACGUCUAUUUUUUGGCAUCACAACAUCGUUCGUUUAAAAAAUAUAUAUAUUAUGUUUAUAAACUCAAGAAAUAUGUCCCUGGACACAUGAGGACUUUGAAUAUGACCAAUGUAUGAUCCUGUAGCGACUUGGUAUCGGAUAGAUACCCAAAUCUGCGGUAUUGUCUAAAAUAAUGUAAAGUAUCAAAGAAGAGAAGAAUAAGUGAUUAUUACAUUUUAACAGAAGUGUAGAUAGAACAUGUUAAAAGAGAAAGUAGGCAGAUAUUAACAGUAAAUGAACAAGUAGAUUAAUAAUUUAUUUUCUACCACUUGGAUCUACACCUGAACUCCACUGUAAUGAUACUAAGUUAAGUAGUGUAUCUUGCCGAUACUACUACGAUUACGCCUAUUUUUUGGCAUCACAACAUCUUCCUUCGUUUUAAAAAAAAUGAUAUCAUGAUUAUAGACUCAGAAAAUAUGUCCCUGAACACAUGAGUACUUUGAAUAUGACCAAUGUAUGAUCCUGUAACGACUUGGUAUCGGAUUGAUACCCAAAUUUGUGCUAUCAUCCAAAACUAAUGUAAAGUAUCAAACAAGAGAAAAACAAGUGAUUACCGGUAUAUAGUAUGCGCCUGCCUAGAAUUACUGCCGGGUCAAACUAGUUUUGCAAAAUAAUUAGCGCAUGCUUAGCAUUACCGCCGGCUCAGGAUUAACGCCGAGUCAAACUCCUUUCGCAAAAUAUUAUUUUUAUUAGCGCAUGUCUAGAAUUUUUGCCGGGUCAAACUCAUUUCGCAAACUAAUCAGCAUAUGCCUAAAAUUUCCGCCGGGUCAAACUCGUCAUGUCACGAGUGACACUUCACCUCUCAUCAUUUUCAAAAUGGAGGAGGCUGAUUUCAAUCAUUUGAAAUUGCAUAAAGGGAAGAAGAUUAAGAGCUAUUCAGUAGGAUUUAAGGUCCAAGCUAUUGAAUAUGCUAAAAAGUACAAUAAGCAGCUAUGUUUUAUUAAUAUACCGUAGCUGCGUGUGUCAAAUCGAGUCAUUAAAUGACUUCCGCCACUUGGUGGUAGAGGGCGCUAGUGAUCCUUCUUGCGACUACUCGGCUGCAGAAGAAGUGACAACAAGCAGCAAGAGUGAGCAGCGAUCGUUUAUUUUUUCCUCUCGCUUGCACUUUUAACAUGGAGGAUUACAUAUCUAAAAUAAAACAGUUUUCUAAACUGGACUUUCAAUCGAAGCAGGGGGUAAUAAAAGAAGAUCUCCAUCGAGACAGAGAGUCUUUUAAAACUGAAGAAAGAUAAGGAAGACUUCUAUAAUCAAGUUAUCGAUGCUUUUGAUCAGAAGGAGCUGUGCAUGGACUUUAUUUAUAAGUAAAGGUAAGACCAUAAUAAAGUUUUUUUAAUUAAAUGUGCUUUUCAUGAUGGUAUCCUUACAUCACACUCAAAUUUAUGAGCGCAGGCCUAAAUUUACCGCAUGCCUUUGGUAAGUUUUUAAAAUAAUUAGAGCACCGGCGGCAAUUCAAGGAAAUACGGUAUUACAUUUUAACAGAAGUGUAGAUAGAACAUUUUAUAAGAGAAAAUAAGCAGAUAUUAACAGUACAUGAACAAGUAGAUUGAUAAUUCAUUUUCUAUCAGUUGUCCUUUUAUAAUGUAAACAAAAUAAGAGGUGUAUAAAUGACACAAUAUAUUACUGCAUAUGUCAGAAGACUAAUUAGGAGCCUUUGUUUGUUUACUUACUACUAAAAGACAAGUUGUCUUGUAUGUUCACUAUUUUAUUUAAGGACAAACUUGCAAUAAGAAACAUAUUUUAAACAUACCGUAAGAUUUUUUUUGUGAAAAUAAAGCUAAUAAUGCAUUUUUUUCUGGUCCCCUUUAUUUAGAAAAGUACCGAAAAGUAUCGAAAUAACUUUAGUACCAUUACUGGUACCAAAAUAUUGGUUUUGGGACAACACGAGUAAGGACACAAGCUUCAUCAUGAUUAGCAAGCACUUCUAGAAACCUGACCUAAUUCCAAGUUGUCUGUUAGUGUCUGCAUGCUUCCAUUCCACUCACUUAUUGAAUGAAAGACAAAAAGCUUUGAAGAACAACAUGACCACCAAACGUUUGAGUGACCACGCCCAGAGUUGGCCUCUGUCCUCUCGCCAAGCGCAGCGGAGCGUCUAUUUUGAAAGACAAUAACAGGAACUUUGGAAACAAUGGCUUCUCUCUGCUAUAUGUAGGGAAUAUGCAGCAGGGAGCAAAAACUGGGCUUGGUUUUAUCCCAGCAGGAGGACGAGUAGUCUGCUCACAUCUGCUGUUUGAUUCUGGAAAGCGGAGCUUUACCUGGACUUCACCAGGAGUCAUUAUUUUCAGCCCAUGUAACAGUAUCGAUCUUUAUGCUGUAAUCGUCACUGAAGGAGAGUAACACUCCCACGCUGCCUCCUUCUUUCAGUGCAUCUUGGCUGCUAUCAGUCUUGAAGAAGAGACAUCAAAACUGGCAUGCUGCACAUUUGCCAGAAUUACGGGACCAAGCUGGUUCUAUUUUGUGAAAGAUUUCCUUAGAAUGGCAGCGGAGGGACUGAGUUUGCACCAUUUCAUCAGAUAUAAUGCAAAUGCUGUAUUGAAAGUGGUUAAAAGAAUCAAACAGGUAUCAAAAUGCAAACAUAUUUAUUUACAAGCCCCGUUUCCAUAUGAGUUGGGAAAUUGUGUUAGAGGCAAAUAAGAACAGAAUACAAUGAUUUGCAAAUCAUUUUCAACCCAUAUUCAUUUGAAUGCACUACAAACUCGUAAACUUUAUUUAAUUUUCUGCAAAUAAUAAUCAACUUAGAAUUUCAUGGCUGCAACACGUGCCAAAGUAGUUGGGAAAGGGCAUGUUCACCACUGUGUUACAUCACCUUUUCUUUUAACAACACUCCAUAAACGUUUGGGAACUGAGGAAACUAAUUGUUGAAGCUUUGAAAGUGGAAUUCUUUCCCAUUCUUGUUUUAUGUAGAGCUUCAGUCGUUCAACAGUCCGGGGUCUCCGCUGUCGUAUUUUACGCUUCAUAAUGCACCACACAUUUUUAAUGGGAGACAGGUCUGGACUGCAGGCGGGCCAGGAAAGUACCCGCACUCUUUUUUUUUUUACGAAGCCACACUGUUGUAACACGUGCUGAAUGUGGCUUGGCAUUGUCUUGCUGAAAUAAGCAGGGGCGUCCAUGAAAAAGACGGCACUCAGAUGGCAGCAUAUGUUGUUCCAAAACCUGUAUGUACCUUUCAGCAUUAAUGGUGCCUUCACGAAUGUGUAACUUACCCAUACCUUGGGCACUAAUGCACCCCCAUACCAUCACAGAUGCUGGCUUUUGAACUUUGCGUCGAUAACAGUCUGGAUGGUUCGCUUCCCCUUUGGUACAAUGUCGAAUAUUUCGAAAAACAAUUUGAAAUGUGGACUCGUCAGACCACAGAACACUUUUCCACUUUGCAUCAGUCCAUCUUAAAUGAUCUCGGGCCCAGAGAAGCCGGCGGCGUUUCUGGAUGUUGUUGAUAAAUGGCUUUCGUUUUGCAUAGUAGAGCUUUAACUUGCACUUACAGAUGUAGCGAUGAACUGUAUUUAGUGACAGUGUUUUUUUUAAGUGUUCCUGAGCCCAUGUGGUGAUAUCCUUAAGAGAUUGAUGUCAGUUUUUGAUACAGUGCCGUCUGAGGGAUCGAAGGUCACGGUCAUUCAAUGUUGGUUUCCGGCCAUGCCGCUUACGUGGAGUGAUUUCUCCAGAUUCUCUGAACCUUUUGAUGAUAUUAUGGAGCGUAGAUGUUGAAAUCCCUAAAUUUCUUGCAAUUGCACUUUGAGAAACGUUGUUCUUAAACUUUUUGACUAUUUGCUCACGCAGUUGUGGACAAAGGGGUGUACCUCGCCCCAUCCUUUCUUGUGAAAGAUUGAGCAUUUUUUGGGAAGCUGUUUUUAUACCCGAUCAUGGCACCCACCUGUUCCCAAUUAGCCUGCACACCUGUGGGAUGUUCCAAAUAAGUGUUUGAUGAGCAUUCCUCAACUUUAUCAGCAUUUAUUGCCACCUUUCCCAACUUCUUUGUCACGAGUUGCUGGCAUCAAAUUCUAAAGUUAAUGAUUAUUUGCAAAAAAAAAAAAAAGUAUAUCAGUUUGAAGAUCAAAUAUGUUUUUUUUGUAGCAGUGCAAAAUCAGUGCAAUACAUUUUCAUAUUAUGGUCACUACUGCCCUGUUUCUCUUGUUAUAUUCUUAUUUUUACGGUGUUAUUUUUAUUGUUAUUUCAAUAUGUUCUAUUUUAUUUCCAUUUAUUCCCCCAUUAUUACAUUUUUUUUUUUUUUUAAUUCAAUCUCAAUUAUGUACACACUGCUGCUGGAACUUUUUAUCUUUCCUGAGGGAACUCUCCUGAAGGAAUCAAUAAAGUUGUGGAGGUAUCAGUAUUCUUCUUCCUCCAAACACGACCAGUUGAGUUUAUACCAAAAUGGAUACAUGGAUGAUACAGCAGAGGAUUGGGAGAAUGUCAUGUGGUCAGAUGAAACCAAAAUAGAACUUUUUGGUAUAAACUCAACUCGUCGUGUUUGGAGGAAGAAGCAUACUGAGUUGCAUCCCAAGAACACCAUACCUACUGUGAAGCAUGGGGGUGGAAACAUCAUGCUUUGGGGCUGUUUUUCUGCUAAGGGGACAGGACGAUUGAUCCGUGUUAAGGAAAGAAUGAACGGGGCCAUGUAUCGUGAGAUUUUGAGCCAAAACCUCCUUCCAUCAGUGAGAGCUUUGAAUGGUUGACCAAAUACUUAUUUUCCACCAUAAUUUACAAAUACAUUCUUCAAAAUUCCUACAAUGUUAAUUCCUGGAUUUUUUUAAGUCUCACCUUAAAUCUCAUCUGUAUACUCUAGCCUUUAAAUAGACCUCCUUUUUAGACCAGUUGAUCUGCCGCUUCUUUUCUUUCUCCUAUGUCCCCCCCUCCCUUGUGGAGGGGGUCCGGUCCGAUAACCAUGGAUGAAGUACUGGCUGUCCAGAGUCGAGACCCAGGAUGGACCGCUCGUCGGGACCCAGGAUGGACCGCUCGCCUGUAUCGGUUGGGGACAUCUCUACGCUGCUGAUCCGCUUCAGAUGGUUUCCUGUGGACGGGACUCUCGCUGCUGUCUUGGAGCCACUAUGGAUUGAACUUUCACAGUAUCAUGUUAGACCCGCUCGACAUCCAUUGCUUUCGGUCCCCUAGAGGGGGGGGGUUGCCCACAUCUGAGGUCCUCUCCAAGGUUUCUCAUAGUCAGCAUUGUCACUGGCGUCCCACUGGGUGUGAAUUCUCCCUGCCCACUGGGUGUGAGUUUUCCUUGCCCUUUUGUGGGUUCUUCCGAGGAUGUUGUAGUCGUAAUGAUUUGUGCAGUCCUUUGAGACAUUUGUGAUUUGGGGCUAUAUAAAUAAACAUUGAUUGAUUGAUUGAUUUUUCACAUUCUGUCUCUCACAGUUGAAGUGUACCUAUGAUGAAAAUGACAGACCUCUGUCAUCAUUUUAAGUGGGAGAACUUGCACAAUCGGUGGCUGACUAAAUACUUUUUUGGCCCUACUCUACAUGCACGCUGAAUAAUAGUGGGCAUAAAGAAGCCCGGGGGUACUGCAGCCAAUCUGUCCUGAUGUACCGAGCCACAAGGACCAAAGUGCACAGGAGUCAGCUGCUAAAAAAGCCUUAAAUCCAGGAAAGCACUAAUGGAUGGGAUAAUGACUGGGAAGGAGGAGGGGGAGCUGUCGUCAAGAAAACUCCGGCGAAAAUGACAGGCUUUGUCCCAUUGGCAACUAGGAUGCACUUGCUAAGAAGACUGGAGGACAAUGCAUUAACGGAGGAAGAAAAAACACUUAUUUACUGAGCUUAACUUCUGACUGCUGGUGAUGUUGCCGCUGUAAAAUGCAUUCAGUAACCCGCCCUAGGAUUCCAAAAAUAAAAAAUAAAAAAUGCUACAUGGCUCUUCUUGCAGGUGCCAAGCAAGUAACAGAG